GAGCACUUUUAACAAGGGAGAAGACAAUUGUAAGGGUGUUUGAGUUUUAUUUUCACCACAGGAAAUUUGAAUGGCUCCUUUGUGAACCACUUAAAGGGAUAUAUUCUGGUAUCUGGCUGUCUGACACACACACCAAUGGGAUUCAAGAUUCCUCUUAAAUAAGAUCAUAUGCAUUCCUGUAUCUCAAGGCAUUGGUCACUGUGAUUUUAUUAAUUUCCUUACAUUUUAAUCUAAAAGAAAUUCAACACCAAAAGGGCCCAAUCCAAUGCUCCAGGAGCCCUGGACAUACACUGAAAAACACAGUAAGAUAGGAACCGCAAAACACCAAUCACCCAAAGAAGCAGCGCCUUUUACUUCCACCCAGCUCUACAUCAUUUAAUCACUAGGCAUAUGACCUAUACAGCUUGAAACUCCAUUUCACUUUCUCACAAGACAAGAGUUCCUUUGAAGGUUUGACCCCACCAAGAUCUGAUCAGAAGGCUGCCUGCUAACCCCAAAGGAGGUGGUGGAAAUCCAAGUGGGAUAGCUGAAACAAAGUACUGGGGAAGAGUUAAAGCUUAAACCUUGAAGCUGAGAAGCAGAGUUUUCAGUGAAACAGACUGUUACUUGUCCCCAGAAGAGUGGAGGUAGCGGCUAUAAAUUGGGCUGAUCUGUCUUGAGGGAAAAGCUAAACUUAGCACCUGAAAUCGGCCACCUCAGAAAACA